rnacentral:SRP_RNA from 1 species
GUCAGGCAUGAUAGCGCAUGCCAAUAAUCCCUGCUACCAGGGAUGCUGAGGCUGGAGGAUUUCUUGAGCUCAGGAGUUCUGAGAUGCAGUGAGCUAUACCAAUUAGGUGUCAGCAUUAAGUUCGGCAUCUAUGUAGUGAGCCACCAGGAGUGGGGGCCACCAGAUCGCCUAGGGAGGAGCAAGUCAGCCUAGAUCAGAAAGAGAAUUGGCCAAAGGUCCUGUGCUAUUAGUAGUGGGAUCGGACCCAUGAGCAAUCCCAGCACUUCCAGUCUGGGCAAGAUGGGGAGACCCAGUCUUUC